rnacentral:lncRNA from 1 species
CUGAGGUAAGCUCUUAGAGGCCUGAGAGACGCGGGCGGCGUUGGUCACGUGACCCCGGCCCCUCCCCCCCCUCGCCGUUUCUAAGGCUCCGGGCUUGAAAUAACUGAGCUCUCUCCCACAUGCUAGUGCUGUGUUGUCCUAGCAACCCUGUGAGGGAGAAGCACGAUGAACAAUAAAAACUUCUUUUUCUACAGAAGGGGAAACAGAGGCCUGAGCCUUGGACGGGAAUGCAAGAGCACGCUCUUUUAGAGAUUGGAAAGAAACCAAGUUCUGCCCCAAUCCACCCCGUCCAUCCCAGCACGGGACAGUCCCUUUGAAGGUGCACGAACCUCCUAACAGGAUUGGGCAAGCUGCAAUUCAGACACCAUUAUCAAGAAGCAACUUUGCUAAGAGAACAAAACACCAGACCCACACUGAGAAUACCCUAGGUAGGCAUCACAAAAACCACGCACUAUAAUAUGCUGCUAACUGCCAAAUUGAGGCUAUUAUAACUGUUCCGAAAUUGAGAAUUCAUUUACACUAACCUAGAGCUGUGUGUGUGUGUGUGUGUGUGUGUGUGUGUGUGUGUGUGUACGUGUACGUGUUUCUGUAUAAUUUUCAUGCAAUGAUCUUAAAGCUUUGGAGAAAAGGGUUAUUAGCCUAAUUUCAAGGCUUGUCCACAUAGCAGUAUUGACAUGCACCAACUCUGCUAAAGGGCAGGAAAAUGAAAAAGACCAUGGCACAAAUUUUUAAACAAUCUUAGGUUUAAUUACAUAAUGCACCUGUAGAUGUUCUAGCAUAAACACAAUUGUAAAAAUCUACAUCCUAUUUUAGGGUAUUUUUCCACCUCCCAUCCCUUAAAAGCUGUACAGUUAUAUAAAAAAUGUGACUCUCAAGCAAAAUAAACUUUUUUUUUUUUGCAACAUACAAAAUAAGUUAAAUGAUUCAGAAGAUCUUGAGCCAUUAAGUAUCCCAAUGACUGUGUUCUGGCCAUCCAUAAGCAUGACAUGCAGCUCCUGGUCUAUGACCAGAACUCAAUAAAUACAGGUCAAAUGAAACCCCAAACACUUAAAUUAGAUUUCUUUAGAAAGUGAUGAAAGUCAAGAAAAUAUAUAAUUAGGGUUAACAAUUCCAUUCUUAAC